rnacentral:tRNA from 1 species
GCGCCUGUAGCUCAGGUGGAUAGAGCAACUGCCUUCUAAGCAGUAGGUCGCAGGUUCGAGUCCUGCCGAGCGCG